GACGAACGCUGGCGGCGUGCUUAACACAUGCAAGUCGAACGGAAAGGCCCUGCUUGCAGGGUACUCGAGUGGCGAACGGGCGAGUAACACGGGGGUGAUCUGCCCUGCACUUCGUGAUAAGCCUGGGCAACUGGGUCUAUUACCGGAUAGGAGCCACUUUUUGUGUGAUGGUUGGAAAGUUUUUUGGGUGUAGGAUGAGCUCGCGGCCUAUCGGCUUGUUGGUGGGGUAAUGGCCUACCAAGGCGGCGACGGGUAGACGGACUGGGGGGGUGGACGGCCACACUGGGACUGAGGUACGGCCCAGACUCCUACGGGAGGCAGAAGUGGGGAAUAUUGAACAAGGGGCGCAAGCCUGAUGCAGAGACGCCGCGGGGGGGAUGACGGCCUUCGGGUGGUAAACUCCUUUCGCUAGGGACGAAGCUUUUUGUGACGGUACCUAGAGAAGAAGCACCGGCUAACUACGUG
rnacentral:rRNA from 1 species